GUCAGAAUGGCCGAGUGGUCUAAGGCGCCAGACUCAAGUUCUGCACACCGAAUGGAGGCGUGGGUUCAAAUCCCACUUCUGACA